GUCAUAGCUCAGUGGUAGAGCAUCUGCCUUGCAGCAGAAAGUCCAAAGUUCAACCCUCAGCACCAGGGACA